rnacentral:rRNA from 1 species
AUUGAACGCUGGCGGCAGGCCUAACACAUGCAAGUCGAGCGGAUGAAGAGAGCUUGCUCUCUGAUUCAGCGGCGGACGGGUGAGUAAUGCCUAGGAAUCUGCCUGGUAGUGGGGGAUAACGUUCCGAAAGGAACGCUGAUACCGCAUACGUCCUACGGGAGAAAGCAGGGGACCUUCGGGCCUUGCGCUAUCAGAUGAGCCUAGGUCGGAUUAGCUAGUUGGUGAGGUAAUGGCUCACCAAGGCGACGAUCCGUAACUGGUCUGAGAGGAUGAUCAGUCACACUGGAACUGAGACACGGUCCAGACUCCUACGGGAGGCAGCAGUGGGGAAUAUUGGACAAUGGGCGAAAGCCUGGUCCAGCCAUGCCGCGUGUGUGAAGAAGGUCUUCGGAUUGUAAAGCACUUUAAGUUGGGAGGAAGGGCAGUAAGUUAAUACCUUGCUAUUUUGACGUUACCGACAGAAUAAGCACCGGCUAACUUCGUGCCAGCAGCCGCCGUAAGAC